rnacentral:rRNA from 1 species
AGCUCCAAUAGCGUAUAUUAAUGUUGUUGCAGUUAAAAAGCUCGUAGUUGGAUUUCUGGUGGGAGCGAUCAGUCCGGCGCUAGCGUGGGUACUUGAGUCGCCUCCGGCCAUCCUUGGGGAGAAACUGUCUGGCAUUCAGUUGUCGGACAGGGGAACCUCAUCGUUUACUGUGAAAAAUUAGGGUGCUCAAAGCAGGCCGUUGCCGUUGAAUAUGUUAGCAUGGAAUAAUAAGAUAGGACCUCGGUACUAUUUUGUUGGUUUGCGUUCCGAGGUAAUGAUUAACAGGGACGGUUGGGGGCCUUCGUAUUCAGUUGUCAGAGGUGAAAUUCUUGGAUUUACGGAAGACGAACUACUGCGAAAGCAUCGGCCACGGAUGUUUUCAUUAAUCAAGAACGAAAGUUAGAACG